rnacentral:misc_RNA from 1 species
UUUCUUGACCUGGAUCAGUCGUUGCUCACGGCUGUGCGCGCUGCUUUGUGGCCAUUGACCCGGGUCAAUUUUUUUAGGGGGGAGCGGGUUUAACUUGAACCCAUCGAAUAGCGAAUCAGGUUUCGGAGGUAGGUCUCAUGUUUGUCGAUGAUGUGGUGCUCGCAGGGGUGGUCACGGUCGGCCUGAUGGUCGCCUUCCUCGGAGGCUUCGGAUAUUUCAUCUGGCGGGAUGCGCACAAGAAGUAAGCGAUUCCCGGCAGAUUCAAAGAGCACGCAAGGCAUUUAGGCGACCUAUGGUCGCCUUUU